rnacentral:rRNA from 1 species
CAGCAGCCGCGGUAAUACGUAGGGUGCGAGCGAUAAUCGGAAUUACUGGGCGUAAAGCGGGCGCAGACGGUUACUUAAGCAGGAUGUGAAAUCCCCGGGCUCAACCUGGGAACUGCGUUCUGAACUGGGUGACUAGAGUGUGUCAGAGGGAGGUAGAAUUCCACGUGUAGCAGUGAAAUGCGUAGAGAUGUGGAGGAAUACCGAUGGCGAAGGCAGCCUCCUGGGAUAACACUGACGUUCAUGCCCGAAAGCGUGGGUAGCAAACAGGAUUAGAUACCCCUGUGUCCCUGUCUCUUAUACA